rnacentral:rRNA from 1 species
AUGGGCGGAAACUGGAAGAUUGAUUGGUGUGACGAUGUUUUGAGAGCAGAAAUUUUGGCUCUAAGAUUUGGAUUAUUUCUUGCACAGAGGGCGGGAUGCAAUCGCCUUGUUAUUUACUCCGACAAGAUGGAAGUCAUCAACACAAUAAAGAAUGGAGGACAAUUGGCGGGAACGGCGGCGGCGGUCUUCGAUGAUUGCUAUUUUUUGGCUUGUGAUUUUCCUCUUAGUAGGUUUGAACAUUUCAAUACAGAAGCAAAUAAGAUGGCUCAUAAACUUGCUAGAUUAGCGAAAGUUACCAUGACAAGGGACUGUUUUAAGGAGCCCAUGGAUGAAAUUUUACCUUAUGGAUGA